AGACCCAUUUAUCAGAAUUCCAGACAUAUUAAUUGAAGUGCCAUCAAAACAGCCUGAAGUAACAGCCACCACGGGUCUCCUCCCUUCCACAACUGUUGCUCCACACAGUUCCAACACAGAGGCCACGACUUCCCUACGAGUAAA